GACGAACGCUGGCGGCGUGCCUAAUACAUGCAAGUAGAACGCACAGUUUAUACCGUAGCUUGCUACACCAUAGACUGUGAGUUGCGAACGGGUGAGUAACGCGUAGGUAACCUGCCUGGUAGCGGGGGAUAACUAUUGGAAACGAUAGCUAAUACCGCAUAAUAUUAAUUAUUGCAUGGUAAUUAAUUGAAAGGUGCAAUUGCACCACUACCAGAUGGACCUGCGUUGUAUUAGCUAGUAGGUGAGGUAACGGCUCACCUAGGCGACGAUACAUAGCCGACCUGAGAGGGUGAUCGGCCACACUGGGACUGAGACACGGCCCAGACUCCUACGGGAGGCAGCAGUAGGGAAUCUUCGGCAAUGGACGAAAGUCUGACCGAGCAACGCCGCGUGAGUGAAGAAGGUUUUCGGAUCGUAAAGCUCUGUUGUAAGAGAAGAACGGGUGUGAGAGUGGAAAGUUCACACUGUGACGGUAUCUGACCAGAAAGGGACGGCUAACUACGUG
rnacentral:rRNA from 1 species